AUUGAACGCUGGCGGCAUGCCAUACACAUGCAAGUCGAACGGUAACGGGCCUCCGGGUGCCUACGAGUGGCGAACGGGUGAGUAACGUAUCGGAACGUACCUUUAAGUGGGGGAUAACGUAGCGAAAGUUACGCUAAUACCGCAUAUCCUGUGAGCAGGAAACCAGGGGAUCGCAAGACCUUGCGCUGAUUGACGGGCCGAGAGCAGAUUAGCUAGUUGGUGAGGUAAAGGCUCACCAAGGCGACGACCUGUAGAGGGCCGGAGAGGAUGAUCCGCCACACUGGGACUGAAGCACGGGCCAGACUCCUACGUGAGGCAGCAGUGGGGAAUUUUGGACAAUGGAGGCAACCCUGAUCCAGCCAUGCCGCGUGAGUGAAGAAGGCCUUCGGGUUGUAAAGCUCUUUCGGCCGGGAAGAAAUCGUAUCAGCUAAUACCUGGUGCGGAUGACGGUACCGGCAUAAGAAGCACCGGCUAACUACGUGCCAGCCGCCGCGGUAAAAC
rnacentral:rRNA from 1 species